GGCUCAAUGGUCUAGUGGUAUGAUUCUCGUUUCGGGUGCGAGAGGUCCCGGUUUCAAUUACCGGUUGAGCCC
rnacentral:tRNA from 1 species